rnacentral:rRNA from 1 species
CCCUUAGAUGUUCUGGGCUGCACGCGCGCUACACUGAUGAACUCAACGAGUUUACGACCUUGCCCGAUAGGGUUGGGUAAUCUUUUUAAAAUGCAUCGUGAUGGGGAUAGAUUAUUGCAAUUAUUAAUCUUCAACGAGGAAUUCCUAGUAAGCGCGAGUCAUCAGCUCGUGCUGAUUACGUCCCUGCCCUUUGUACACACCGCCCGUCGCUCCUACCGAUUGAGUGCUCAGGUGAAUAAUUCGGACUGCAGCAAUGUUUGGAUCCCGAACGUUGCAGCGGAAAGUUUAGUGAACCUUAUCACUUAGAGGAAGGAGAAGUCGUAACA